ACCAAUUCUGGGGGAUAAACAGUUCCUCUUGGCAUAAUGGCUCGGACGCCAAAUUGAUGUAAUGCAAUGUGGUAUAUCCUGAUCCAUGACUUUCUUUUUUGUGUCUAUUGAUCCUGGAAACGCCACUUAUAUUA
rfam:Beta vulgaris subsp. vulgaris chromosome 3, whole genome shotgun sequence.